rnacentral:rRNA from 1 species
GGCCUGCGCGGAAGAUGUAACGGGGCUCAAACCAGGCACCGAAGCCGCGGAUUCACACUUAUGUGUGAGUGGUAGGGGAGCGUUCUGUAAGUCUGCGAAGGUGUAUCGAGAGGCAUGCUGGAGAUAUCAGAAGUGCGAAUGCUGACGUAAGUAACGAUAAAGGGGGUGAAAAGCCUCCUCGCCGGAAGACCAAGGGUUCCUGUCCAACGUUAAUCGGGGCAGGGUGAGUCGACCCCUAAGGCGAGGCCGAAAGGCGUAGUCGAUGGGAAGCAGGUUAAUAUUCCUGCACGACUUGUAAUUGCGAUGGGGGGACGGAGAAGGCUAGGUGGGCCAGGCGACGGUUGUCCUGGUGAAAGUGCGUAGGUGGUGUUUCUAGGCAAAUCCGGAGACACAACACUGAGACACGAGACGAACGCACCACGGUGCGGAAGCCAUUGAUGCCCUGCUUCCAGGAAAAGCCUCUAAGCUUCAGAUUACAAGUCAUCGUACCCCAAACCGACACAGGUGGUCGGGUAGAGAAUACCAAGGCGCUUGAGAGAACUCGGGUGAAGGAACUAGGCAAAAUAGAACCGUAACUUCGGGAGAAGGUUCGCUCUUGAUGGUGAAGUCCCUUGCGGAUGGAGCUGUCGGGAGUCGCAGUGACCAGAUGGCUGGGACUGUUUAUCAAAAACACAGCACUCUGCAAACACGAAAGUGGACGUAUAGGGUGUGACACCUGCCCGGUGCCGGAAGGUUAAUUGAUGGGGUUAGCGCAAGCGAAGCUCUUGAUCGAAGCCCCGGUAAACGGCGGCCGUAACUAUAACGGUCCUAAGGUAGCGAAAUUCCUUGUCGGGUAAGUUCCGACCUGCACGAAUGGUGUAACCAUGGCCAUGCUGUCUCCACCCGAGACUCAGUGAAAUCGAAUUCGCCGUGAAGAUGCGGUGUACCCGCGGCUAGACGGAAAGACCCCGUGAACCUUUACUACAGCUUGGCACUGAACAUUGAACCUACAUGUGUAGGAUAGGUGGGAGGCUUUGAAGGCGUGACGCCAGUUGCGCUGGAGCCGUCCUUGAAAUACCACCCUUGUAUGUUUGAUGUUCUAACGCAGGGCCCUGAAUCGGGCUCGCGGACAGUGCCUGGUGGGUAGUUUGACUGGGGCGGUCUCCUCCCAAAGAGUAACGGAGGAGCACG